UUUCUGCCAAUUAAACUGUGUUCUGUUCCCCAUGGGGGCCUGGUGUGUAAUGGCUGCAGAGGGCAGCCUUCCGGGUAGUGUAUGCCACCUGUUAUCUGCACAGGUUGCCCUGAGGGAACUUGGAGACAGCC
rnacentral:snoRNA from 1 species